rnacentral:tRNA from 1 species
UUGUGGCUCAGUGGAAGGUCAUUUGCUUGGCAUGCAGAUGGUCCCAGGUUCCGCCCCUGGCAUGUAAU